rnacentral:lncRNA from 1 species
UGAACAUAUGCUUGCAAACUCAUGCCAGCUGACUUAAUGAGUAGAAGAUAAAUGUGUUCAUGAGUAGAAGAGAAGGGGACCAACAAAAAGACACAUGCAGCCGGGAAAUGGAUUCAACAAACAGAUUCAACAAUCACCUUUGUUCCAGGUGCCAAAAAGU